rnacentral:rRNA from 1 species
AGCGGAGCGUGUGGUUUAAUUCGAUGUUACACGAAGAACCUUACCAGGGUUUGACAUGCAAGUGGUAGGAAGCCGAAAGGUGACCGACCCUUCGGGGAGCUUGCACAGGUGCUGCAUGGCUGUCGUCAGCUCGUGUCGUGAGAUGUUCGGUUAAGUCCGCUAACGAGCGCAACCCUCGCUGUGUGUUAUAUGUGUCACACGGGACUGCCGGUCUUAAGCCGGAGGAAGGUGGGGAUGAUGUCAAGUCAGCAUGGCCUUUAUAUCCUGGGCUACACACACGCUACAAUGGCCAACACAAUAGGUUGCUAAGCCGCGAGGUGGCGCCAAUCCAUAAAGUUGGUCUCAGUUCAGAUUGUAGGCUGCAACCCGCCUGCAUGAAGAUGGAGUUGCUAGUAACCGCAGGUCAGCUAUACUGCGGUGAAUACGUUCUCGGGCCUU